rnacentral:rRNA from 1 species
CGCGGCCUAUCAGCUUGUUGGUGGGGUAACGGCCCACCAAGGCAGCGACGGGUAGCUGGUUUGAGAGAACGAUCAGCCACACUGGGACUGAGACACGGCCCAGACUCCUACGGGAGGCAGCAGUGGGGAAUCUUGCGCAAUGGGCGAAAGCCUGACGCAGCAACGCCGCGUGCGGGAUGACGGCCUUCGUGGUUGUAAACCGCUUUCAGCAGGGACGAAGAUGACGGUACCUGCAGAAGAAGCCCCGGCUAACUACGUGCCAGCAGCCGCGGUAAUACGUAGGGGGCGAGCGUUGUCCGGAUUCAUUGGGCGUAAAGAGCUCGUAGGCGGUUCAGUAAGUCGGGUGUGAAAGCUCCGAGCUCAACUCGGAGACGCCACCCGAUACUGCUGUGACUCGAGUCCAGUAGAGGAGCGUGGAACUCCUGGUGUAGCGGUGAAAUGCGCAGAUAUCAGGAAGAACACCGGUAGCGAAGGCGGCGCUCUGGGCUGGUACUGACGCUGAGGAGCGAAAGCGUGGGUAGCAAACAGGAUUAGAUACCCUGGUAGUCCACGCCGUAAACGUUGGGCACUAGGUGUGGGGAGGAGUCAACCCUUUCCGUGCCGUAGCUAACGCAUUAAGUGCCCCGCCUGGGGAGUACGG